AAUGAACGCUGGCGGCGUGUCUUAAGCAUGCAAGUCGUGCGGCAAGGGUAGCAAUACCCCUAGAGCGGCGGACUGGUGAGUAACGCGUGGGUGAUCUGCCUCUGGGAUGGGGAUAGCCACUAGAAAUAGUGGGUAAUACCGAAUACGUUCGUCGGGCUGUGGCCUGACGAGGAAAGGCGCUUCGGCGCCACCCGGAGAUGAGCCCGCGUCCCAUUAGCUAGUUGGUGAGGUAACGGCCCACCAAGGCGAUGAUGGGUAGGCGGCCUGAGAGGGUGUACGCCCACACUGGGACUGAGAUACGGCCCAGACUCCGUACGGGAGGCAGCAGCUAAGAAUAUUCCGCAAUGGACGAAAGUCUGACGGAGCGACGCCGCGUGGAUGAAGAAGGCCGAAAGGUUGUAAAAUCCUUUUGUUGGGGAAGAAUAAGCGUGGGAGGGAAUGCCCGCGUGAUGACAUGAACCGACGAAUAAGUCCCGGCUAACUACGUG
rnacentral:rRNA from 1 species